rnacentral:rRNA from 1 species
AACGCGAAGAACCUUACCUGGUCUUGACAUCCUGGGAACCCUGAAGAGAUUUAGGGGUGCCGCAAGGAGCCCAGAGACAGGUGCUGCAUGGCUGUCGUCAGCUCGUGUCGUGAGGUGUUGGGUUAAGUCCCGCAACGAGCGCAACCCUUGUCGUGUGUUGGUCCACAAGAUCUCUCACACGAGACCGCCGGUGACAAGCCGGAGGAAGGUGGGGAUGACGUCAAGUCAGCAUGGCCCUUACGUCCAGGGCUACACACGUGCUACAAUGCGCCGGACAGCGAGUCGCGAACCCGCGAGGGCAAGCUAAUCUCUUAAACCGGCGCUCAGUUCGGAUUGAAGGCUGCAACUCGCCUUCAUGAAGUCGGAAUCGCUAGUAACCGCAGAUCAGCUACGCUGCGGUGAAUACGUUCCCGGGCCUUGUACACACCGACUGUAC